UGUUGGAUAAUGUUUAAUUUAUCAUUCACGUUUUACAUAUGAUUCUGUUUAAACCAUAUUUAAUCGAUGUUUUGGUGAAUUUCGCGCAUGCUUAACUUGCCUGAUUUCGGACGUAAUUUACUUUCGGAUACAUGCUCCUCUUGUGUUUUUUUUCGAUGUUUUCUUAUGUAUGCAGAUUAAAAAAAACAGCUCAUGCUUAAAUGUGUUAUUGAGCAAGUGACUUCUUUAUGCUAUGGCAGGAAUAAAAAAAACUGUUAUAAAAUUAUAAAGGAAGUUUAGUUACAUGUAUAAACUCACAGUCACAAGUGUGUAAGUAUUACUGUUACAUUUAUUUAUAUUUUCUAAAAGUAAAUAUAUGCUCACAUAUCAGUAAGUAUUGUACAGCCCUAAAUUAUAUUUAAUACACCCAUCUAGGCAGUUAAUUCAUAUAUGUGCUGGCUUUAAUUUACAUUCAUGUUAUUAUCACCCUGCAAUAGGCGGAGGGAUAUUGUUUUGGCCUUGUCCGCCCGUCUUUCCGUCCAUCCGGCACUUUUGUGUUGGGAGCCAUAUCUUGGAAGUGCUUUGGUGGAUUUCAUUGAAACUUGGUAUGAGUAUAUGUAUAGAUAAGAGGAUGAUGCAUGCCAAAUGGCAUUGUACACUAUCUGUUAAUAACGGAGUUAUGGCCCUUCGAACCUAAAAAAAUGCUUUUUUACCUGAGUGUCAAAUAUAACACUUUUGUGUCCAGAAGCUAAUUAGCGGGGGAUAUCAAUUCAAUGAAUUUGCUUGUUAUUAAUUGAAGGGAAAUAAACCUGUUAUUUUGUCUGUCAUUAUGGUGUUUAAAGUCACAUUUAAUGGCAUCCAACCUACUUUAUUUCAAAUACAGUAACACCUGGCGCAGUGACCUGGAUGCAGAUUCUAAGCAGAUGGGCCAAAAUGGGGGCAGCUAGAGAGACUCGCCUGGAACUGACAAGCCUGGAGGGAGCUGGUUGUCUGUUGGCGAGAUGGGACAACAGACGAAGAAUAAACGAACCUACUUGAUUUGAUAAACAUUUUUAUGUUUUUCAGUUUCGUCGGAAGACAUUUCCCACCAACCAUCCUGUCUUGAAAGAAAUAACUUUUGAACCCGAUUAUCUGAUAUUUUCCAGUUUCCCCUCACAACAAUUUGCAUCAAACCUCUUGUCUGCUCCUCAGCUGAAAUCAUCAUCUAGCAGUCACAAUAGUUGAGCGGUUGGAGAGGCAUGCAUUGCGUCCUACUACUGCUCAGACUAUAUUAUGUUUGGCAGACAAAACAUGCUGAUCAAAAAGAAUGUGUACCACAGGGGCCAG